CCCCUUCAAGACCCAGACCAAUAGUGACCCCAGAGAGCAGACUGGGAUCCCUCCUUCUCUUCCCCACAGACCUGCUGAGGGCUCAGGCCGUCCGGCAUGGGACCCAGCUCUGGGGCUGGGGGCUUGAUGUCCGUCACACUGACCUCCAGGAGUCCCAUGUCCUCCUCUUCAGAGUCACCUGGAAAGCCAGACGGGCCGAUGACACAGCUAAGCCGCGGACCACAUGCCCUGGUCAGACCUCAGACCAGCCCUGGACACAGGGGAAGAGAAUCUGCCUGAAGAGUGCAGCAGCGGUCUGCACCGCAUUAAAAAAACAAUGCAAACCCAAGAAGGAAAAGUUCAACCCAAGUCUGACGAGGCUCCUGGGCUAGCGGGGGACAGAGGCCCAGCCCUCGACCCUCCUUGGCACCGGGAGAUGGGACCCCUGCUGCUCAGCGCUUCUGAAACCCUGUGGCCACAGAAGUGCUUCCCAAGGGUGGAGGGGCGUGAACAGCAUCCACGCCUGCCCCUCAGCACCACGGCAGGCCCACGGGGGCUCAGCCCACGCUGUGGAUGAGGAACCUGACACUCGGGAGGAACUGGGCAAGGUCACAGUGAGGAGGCCACAGGGCAGGGAUGUGACCCAGAAAGGAGACUUUGCGCAUGACCGCCAUCCGCGUCUUCUCCAGCCCGUCCUUGGUCCCGCUCCUGGCGGCCUUCAUGAGCUGGGUCAUCUGAGCAAAGGCAGAGUGGCUCAUCAGAGAGGCCGAGGACCUGGACACCUGCCACCAAGGGCUGCCAGUCCCACUGGACCUCAGCCUGGCUGCAGACAUCAGGACCACCCGACCACCCACUCCCGGGUGAGUGCGCAGCAGAGGCCAGGAGAGAGUGGAGGCCAGCAGAUGCGCUCAAGGCCCGAGGGUUUCCCUGUGGGCAAGGGGAGGUCCUACCCCAGCGUUUCCUUCAGAGCCAACUCCACCAACAGGUGCCGAAUUAAGGAGUGCACACCUGUAAUUCCAGCUACUCGCGAGGCUAAGGUAAGAGGAUCGCAAAUUCGAGGCCAGCCUCAGCGAUUUAGCAAGACUGUCUCAAAGUAAAAAAAUGCAAAGGGCUGGGGUGGAGCUCAGGGGCACAGCAAUUGCCUGGCACGAGCAGGGCCCUGGGUUUAAUCCAGGGCUACAAAAAAAGGAAAGAUUAAGGAGCAGUGUGCCGGGAGAGGCUGGCAUCCUGGUCUGGCUUCAGAUCCCCCUCGGCACUCCCAACAAGCGGGCCUCGGUGUCCCCAGACAGCCCGGAGGCAGCGGCCAGACCCACCCACCAGGGUCAGCAAGACCAAGCAGCCCUGCAGAGCUGACCCGCCACACAGGCACGGGGUGGCUGCAGGGGCCACUGGGAAGAGGUGCACACAGGUGAGGGACCAUCCCUUGCCCCCCACGGCCAGGGUCCUUUCUGAGCCGCUGCCUGGGAGAAAGCGGAAGUUGCCAGAGAGCAGGACGCAGCUUCCUGGUGGACGCCAGCCUGGUGAGCUGAGCAGGGCGUGAGGCGCAGGAAGCACAUGCCCAGGACAGGAAGCAGGCGCCCGCUGUCCCCGCACCUCCUCCAUUCCCUCUCACCUCACCCAGCCCAGCCCUGGCACCUUCUGCACCACCAACCAGCACCAGCCACCUGAGCUCUCUGCAGCAAGGACGGACUCUGCACUGCCAGCACGGGCCACAGGUGGCCCUGAGCCCUCGGGAUGUCCUGAGACCUGGGUCACUGAUCACGCCUCACGUAACCAAUGCCAGUGUAACCGCUGCAUGGCCGUCAAGGAGGCCAGCAGUGUGCCAGGGAACCCUCUCCUGACUCUGCCCAGGGGGAGCAGAGCUGACCCCCAUCCUCCCUGUCCUCCUGGCCACAGGCUUUGCAGGGGUCUGGGUGAGGAGGGCUUGCUGAGAAGCCCGGGCAGUGCCCAAGAGGCAGGGUGGUGGCUUCCCACGAGCCAGGCUGGCGUUCUGGAAACUACCCACGGGGAAACGGGAAGUGGGCCCAGCCCUCCCCGCGCCUGUGGGCACAACUCCUGCCCUCUCAGCAGGAAUGGCCAUAGCGCCCUGGAGAGGCCAGAGAGGGAACAGGGCUGACCCCGGGAAGCACGGCUGGUCUCCUAGGGUACGUCCUCUCUGGGGCCACGCACCCCCAGUGCCUGUUCUGGUGGAAAGCCGUGGGGCGUUCUGGGGACCCGCCACAGGGGUCUUGGGGGCUCAUCUGAGGCCCUGCCCUUGGAGAGGAAGAGCAGCAGGCACCUGCCCAGAAGGCUCCGGGGGACCAGGUGAUCAGUCUGCAGGGUGCUCCAUGGCCCCUCAGCCAGGGGCAGGGGCUGGGAAAUGCACCUGUCCCUGCGUCUGCCCUCCAUGGCUCCUGGCUCCUCGGGGCCUCUGUGUCCUGGAGGCUGAACCUGUGGGGCCUGGGUCUCGGCUGGGGGAGGGUGGGUAAUCGUGGCCCCGUUCCUCCUCCUCCCAGGGCCGGGCUCGGAUGACGUGGGGUACAGGAGGGACACACUCAGGGGCUGGUGCCUGGCAGGCCCAGCUGGAGGCCCAGCUCGGCCACCAACUGCCAGUAGGACCAGCGGUCACCACUUUACUCGCCUCAGGUGCAGUGAUGGCAGAAAGACGGCCGCCCCAGGGUGCAAGGGACAGGACGGUCAGCCUGAGGUACACGAGGGAACAGCGGUGGCCGCCAUCCACUGCUCUCUUGAAGCCGACACAAUGCCGAGCACCCUACAGACCUGAUCACCGGGGGCCACUCCUCCCGACACCCGUUUCACAGGCAAGAAACAAGGUCCAGAGGGGCCAUGGGGCCUGCCAGGACCACAGAGAGAGAAAGUGGCGGGACCGGGAUCUGAACCCAGGUCUGCAGGCCUCGAAAGCCAGUGAUGGCCACCAGGCCACACAGCGAGCCUCACUCGAGAGCAGCCACUAACACGAUGAUAUCACCUAGAAGCCAGGUCCUGCCUGAGGGGGCUGCAGUUUCUCCCACAGACUUCCUCACCCUGGGCCUCUCGGAGCAUCCUGGAGGGGCGGUCCCACGUCCCCCACGCUAGAUUCCUCCAGGCGUAACCCAGCCCGCCCACCGUGGUCACUAAGUACUGCAGAACCAGCACCAGGCCAAACUCAGGAGUGUGUGUUUUAACCAAAGGCCUCGGGUGAGUCUGGGCGUCUGCAAACCUCCCGGGUUCCUGUGGGCAUUAGCAUCUCGGGUGAAGAAGGGAAGGUACAGCAGAGUCGCAGAGGGACGGCUGGCCUCGGGCACUGCCCCUCGCAGGGCAGGUGGAAUGCAGCCAGGCGCCAGGGCUCGGCCCACCGUCCAGGGCGGGCGCAGCGGAAAGGCUCCAUGGGUGGCCGCAGCUCGCGAGGGCCCCUCCGGCCGGGGCGGGGCGGACGGACGGACGGACAGUACCUUACAAUCGUACUUGUGCUUCAGCUCCUGCAUGUCUCUCCCCCCAACUCUUAAAGCCAAGAUGUCCCUCUUAGUCCUGGCGUAUCUCUCCUUUAGCCUAGUCAGGUCUGGAGACAGCUGGAGCGCAAGCGGCAGGCAGAGGAGAGCAGGCGGGAGGAGCAGGCGGGACAGGAGGGACAAACAGACACAGGAGAGAGGAGACUCAGUCAAGUGGGGCGGACACAGGGCAGGCAGGACAGCACCCCGUGGGCAGCCGGGUCGGUCCCGCUGGGGUCUGCCCAGCAGCGUCCAGGCCAAUGUGCUGGGGUCUCUGCGCAGGGGGCCCAGCCGCUGGGGAGCAGGGCAGGGCGGGAACGAGCCCAGGUUCCCCUCUCUGGGGAAGGGGACUGUUCCGGGGACCACGGCAUCUUCCCCCAGCCCGGGCCCAUGUAGGGCUUGUAACCAGAGGUUCCUGGCACAUUCGUGAGGAGGACCUAAAGGGCAGGGCAGGAGCAUCAGUGGACACGUAGGCCAAAGCACAGAAAGAUGGAUGAGUGGGGUAGAUGAUGAAUGGACAGGCCAUCGGAUGGAUUUGGUCUGGUGACUGUACAGCUGGGCAAGUGGAGAGAUGGACAGAGGAGGUCAUCAGAGGAUGUGGACAGGUGGAUGGAGACAUGGCCGAGCGUGCUGGGCAGUGCCUAACAGCCGGUUCUCCAGGAAGAAGAGCCCUGUGGGCGGCACUGCCCGUGAGUACCCUCCCACCUGGGCCAACUGCACUUCCACAGCACCCCCGAGAACGUGGGCUGAACAGAGAUGCGGCCGCAGUGCGGGAGUUCCCAUGAGCAGCACUGCCAGCCCCGCAGCCCUGGAGGACGCUGGCUGCACAGGAGGGCGGGCAGGGACUGGCUUACGGACACCCAUGACGAUGGACAGAAAGGGAGACGCACAUUCAAAUGCGUGAGCUGUGUAAGCAAGAGGGACACUGAGUACAGUACACAGAAGACCAACACAGAUAACGGACACGUAGAAGGUUCUAGAAUGUGAGCUCUGGGGGCCGCAGGUCUUCAUGCAAAUUGUGGCUCCCACUUGCUGGCUGGAAAAGUCUCUUUCCCUCUCCGAGUUGCAGCUUGUGUGCUGGUAAAAUGCACGUAAGAGGCCAUGAGAAUAGCCCACUGGGCCGUAGGGUCAUUGAGAUAAUAGCUCACAGAGAAAAUUAAGUGUAAAGCCCAAAAUUUAGUAGGUAGCCAAAAAACAAAUGCCAAUAUUAUUUUAUUUUUAAAAUUA